AUAUUUUUUUUUUUGGCUCAAAGGAAGCUGCAUGUAAGCUACGUGUGACAACAUGGAGUUAAAAAAAUAAAUUGUUACCCUUUAAAUUUUGAAUGUCAAAUCUAUUUAGAAGUUUGAUUGUAGGUACCUCGUUCACGUCUUGGUUACAUUCCACCUAGUGUUUACUAAUUAUUGUCCUUUUUAUAAAUUUUCUUCUUAAAAAUCUUAUUAUGGUAAGGAUAAUGUAUUUGUUCCCUUCAGGUAUCUGCCACUGCAGCUGACGUUGAGACAACUCUCAGUCUUCCUGCAAGUCCUCGCCUGAUACCUGUUUCAAGUGCAACAAGGCAAGUCACAAUUAAGGGUUGGAUGAUCACCUUUAAGGGCUCUGAGGGCAUCACACCAACAUUUGCAAUUGGACUUGCUGCUAUGUUUGCAACCUACUACAUUUUCAGCCUUCAGUAUCAAGAUGAGACAGCCUGCCCUCUGGAAUUCAUUCAGAGGCACUUCAUUGAUAUAAAUCAAGAGAGAGGAACAAAUGCCAAAAUCAUCAGACAAGAUUGUCUCUAAGAAGAAAGGUGUGAUCGUCCAGAAGUCGUCUUCUGCAGUUAAAUACACACGUGGCCAUGCUACUGAAGAAUCUCCUUGACUUUUUAAUGGAACUUUAUAUAGAUCGUGACAGCACUGGAAUAAUGCUGCAGAGAGGAACAGCGGCUACUAAAGUGAUGAUCGUCUCUUCUGGAUCCACAAGAACUAAGAUAUAAAAACACAAACCUACCUCACAGGACAAUUUUAAGAGGUAACCUGCAAGUCUAGCUUGCAGUGGCACAUGUGCCUAUACGGUUUCAUCCUAAAUGUUUUUUAUGCUUAUUAUUGAUACAUCCUGACAAAAUGUUCUACUGUACUAUAAUAGUUUCAAAAUGGCCUUAGGUAUGUUUUCAAAAAGUAAACUAUAGGUUAUGCCCUUCACAUUUGGUAAGGAUCAUGGG